rnacentral:rRNA from 1 species
AGAACGAACGCUGGCGGCGUGUUUAAGACAUGCAAGUCGCACGGGGCUUUUCCAAGUAGCAAUACGAAGAAAAGUCUAGUGGCGCACGGGUGAGUAACACGUGAAUUACAUGCCCUUCAGUGGGGAAUAGCCCAGGGAAACUUGGAUUAAUACCCCAUGGUAUCGCGAGAUUAAAGGUGGCCGCAAGGCUGCCGCUGGAGGAUUGGUUCGCGCCCUAUCAGCUUGUUGGCGGGUAACGCCCACCAAGGCUACGACGGGUACCUGGUCUGAGAGGACGAUCAGGCACACUGGACUGAGACGACGGUCCAGACCACCGUAGGGUGGACAGCGAGUCGGAGAAAGUAAUUCAACGUAAGUGGGGGGACAACCCGUGAGUGGUGACAACGGCCGCGUGGAGGAUCGGACGGUCUUCGGUAUUACGUAAACCUCCGUGU